AGAGUUUGAUCAUGGCUCAGAUUGAACGCUGGCGGCAGGCCUAACACAUGCAAGUCGAGCGGUAGCACAGAGAGCUUGCUCUCGGGUGACGAGCGGCGGACGGGUGAGUAAUGUCUGGGAAACUGCCUGAUGGAGGGGGAUAACUACUGGAAACGGUAGCUAAUACCGCAUAACGUCGCAAGACCAAAGUGGGGGACCUUCGGGCCUCAUGCCAUCAGAUGUGCCCAGAUGGGAUUAGCUAGUAGGUGGGGUAAUGGCUCACCUAGGCGACGAUCCCUAGCUGGUCUGAGAGGAUGACCAGCCACACUGGAACUGAGACACGGUCCAGACUCCUACGGGAGGCAGCAGUGGGGAAUAUUGCACAAUGGGCGCAAGCCUGAUGCAGCCAUGCCGCGUGUGUGAAGAAGGCCUUCGGGUUGUAAAGCACUUUCAGCGGGGAGGAAGGCGNCGAUUGACGUUACCCGCAGAAGAAGCACCGGCUAACUCCGUGCCAGCAGCCGCGGUAAUACGGAGGGUGCAAGCGUUAAUCGGAAUUACUGGGCGUAAAGCGCACGCAGGCGGUCUGUCAAGUCGGAUGUGAAAUCCCCGGGCUCAACCUGGGAACUGCAUUCGAAACUGGCAGGCUAGAGUCUUGUAGAGGGGGGUAGAAUUCCAGGUGUAGCGGUGAAAUGCGUAGAGAUCUGGAGGAAUACCGGUGGCGAAGGCGGCCCCCUGGACAAAGACUGACGCUCAGGUGCGAAAGCGUGGGGAGCAAACAGGAUUAGAUACCCUGGUAGUCCACGCCGUAAACGAUGUCGAUUUGGAGGUUGUGCCCUUGAGGCGUGGCUUCCGGAGCUAACGCGUUAAAUCGACCGCCUGGGGAGUACGGCCGCAAGGUUAAAACUCAAAUGAAUUGACGGGGGCCCGCACAAGCGGUGGAGCAUGUGGUUUAAUUCGAUGCAACGCGAAGAACCUUACCUGGUCUUGACAUCCACAGAACUUUCCAGAGAUGGAUUGGUGCCUUCGGGAACUGUGAGACAGGUGCUGCAUGGCUGUCGUCAGCUCGUGUUGUGAAAUGUUGGGUUAAGUCCCGCAACGAGCGCAACCCUUAUCCUUUGUUGCCAGCGGUUAGGCCGGGAACUCAAAGGAGACUGCCAGUGAUAAACUGGAGGAAGGUGGGGAUGACGUCAAGUCAUCAUGGCCCUUACGACCAGGGCUACACACGUGCUACAAUGGCAUAUACAAAGAGAAGCGACCUCGCGAGAGCAAGCGGACCUCAUAAAGUAUGUCGUAGUCCGGAUUGGAGUCUGCAACUCGACUCCAUGAAGUCGGAAUCGCUAGUAAUCGUAGAUCAGAAUG
rnacentral:rRNA from 1 species